GAUGAAGAACGCAGCAAAAUGCGAUAAGUAAUGUGAAUUGCAGAAUUCAGUGAAUCAUCGAGUCUUUGAACGCACAUUGCGCCCCCUGGUAUUCCGGGGGGCAUGCCUGUCCGAGCGUCAUUGCUGCCCUCAAGCACGGCUUGUGUGUUGGGCCCCGUCCUCCGAUCCCGGGGGACGGGCCCGAAAGGCAGCGGCGGCACCGCGUCCGGUCCUCGAGCGUAUGGGGCUUUGUCACCCGCUCUGUAGGCCCGGCCGGCGCUUGCCGAUCAACCCAAAUUUUUAUCCAGGUUGACCUCGGAUCAGGUAGGGAUACCCGCUGAACUUAAGCAUAUCAAUAAGCGGAGGA
rnacentral:misc_RNA from 1 species